rnacentral:lncRNA from 1 species
AUAAUUCUCACAUCAUCUAGAAAUUCAACAUGUUUCCAAAACUAAACUUGAAAUAGACAUACCCAUAUUUCAUUUAGAAAUGGUUUGAGAUCAUUUGGGCACCAUUUAGUCAUAACAUAGUUUAGUACAAACUAGUUAGGUGCCUCGAUCUCAACUUUCAGAGCUGGAUGAUCUAGUGGCAUGCGACUCGGGUUUUGGGGGAACCCGAGACAUUGAGUUCACUCUCUCAGGAACUUUGCUCAGGAGCAAGGGCAGGUAUACCAAUCAAUGAGAGAAAAAUUUAUGGUAGGUUUGGGACUUACUCAGGCUGGC